AGGUUUAACUAAAACAUGUUGCAAAGGAGCCUUGUGUAGUGACAAAAUGAAGAGCAACUUUAACCAUUUGAGGUUCCUCUACUGUGUUUUCUUGGGAGCUAAGGUGGCCACAACAGUCAAUUGUUCUCUUUGGAGUUGGGAUUGGCGAGAGACCAUCCAAUCAAAUUUCAGAAAGUGAAGUAUAGGAGGUGCAGUCUGACUGUCAUUUGCAGUCAUAAAAAACUGGCAGUAUGUCUUCGUGGAUGAUACAUGUUAUGAUGUGCUCAGUAGAUGGAAUUUUUGCAGUCCUUGAGCUAGGUGCAGAAACAUUUGUACUAUUGGAAGAACCCUUUGCCAUCAACAGCUUUGACAUUAACAAGCAGAAUCACUAUGAAAUUACAUAUUUAUAUGCAGUUUGGAAUGGGAAUCGUUGGCUAUACUUUGAAGGUUGUAAAGCACUGUAAUCACAGCCGAGUUUUGUUACAAUUAUUAUGUAGCUUUAAAUACCAAUAUGCCGUAAUAUGUAAGAUUGUAUUCUACAAGCUAGACUGAUGUCCAUUUGUUUGGGUCUGUUUAACUGUAUACGUGACAGUUCAUGACAAGUUCAUAUAGACUAAUCAAUAGGCUCUCAGCUCAAGGAGUGUAUUACUGAAGUUUUUCCACGUAGCUCAGCUGUUAUGAAAGUUGAGAAGAUUGAUAUUGGUUUGCUCAAUAUUGUGAGCUAAGAAGUGACUUGGCGAAUCUCUUUUUUAAUCAAAUAUUGCUCUUGGUUCCCUUUUUCGUAAUUUUAAGCACAGGGGAGAG